CAGCCACUCAGGCCUAUACAGCCUGGCGUUGGGGCAUCUACAGUUAAGCGUAGGCCCUGAAAGAUAGUGGCGGUGUCCGCUAGCACUCCGGGCGCAGUACAUUUCCUUCUCGCCUAGGACGUCUUGCGGGCUGCUGGCCGUAAAACAAUAGCUUGAAGCUUAAAA
rnacentral:misc_RNA from 1 species